rnacentral:rRNA from 1 species
AUUGAACGCUGGCGGCAGGCCUAACACAUGCAAGUCGAACGAGUGGCGGACGGGUGAGUAAUGUCUGGGAAACUGCCCGACGGAAGGGGAUAUCUACUGGAAACGGUAGCUAAUACCGCAUACCAUCGGAUGUGCCCAGAUGGGAUUAGCUAGAAGGUGGGGUAAUGGCUCACCUAGGCGACGAUCCCUAGCUGGUCUGAGAGGAUGACCGGCAACACUGGAACUGAGACACGGUCCAGACGCCUACGGGAGGCAGCAGUGGGGAAUAUUGCAAAAUGGGCGCAAGCCUGAUGCAGCCAUGCCGCGUGGAUGACGAAGGCCUUCGGGUUGUAAAGUACUUUCAGCGGGGAGGCGUUACCCGCAGAAGAAGCACCGGCUAACUCCGUGCCAGCAGCCGCGGUAAUAC